rnacentral:rRNA from 1 species
UACAGGGGCUCGAGCGUUAGUCGGAAUCACUGGGCGUAAAGGGCGCGUAGGUGGCGCCGCAAGUCAACGGUGAAAGCUCGACGCUUAACGUCGAGUCGGCCGUCGAGACUGCGGGGCUCGAGCACUGUAGAGGCUCAUGGAAUUCCGGGUGUAGCGGUGGAAUGCGUAGAGAUCCGGAAGAACACCGGUGGCGAAGGCGGUGAGCUGGGCAGU